GGGGUCGUAGUCGAGCAUGGUCUAAGAUGCAUGGCUCGGGUACCCUGACUGUAGCGGUUCGAGAUCCCAUGUGAACGUGGGUUCAAAUCCCACCGACCCCA
rnacentral:tRNA from 1 species